rnacentral:rRNA from 1 species
AGUCGAACGCGCUCCAUUCGGUAGCAAUACUGAUGAAGAGCGAGUGGCGGACGGGUGAGUAGCACGUGAGCAACCUGCCCCGAAGACUGGGACAACACCGGGAAACCGGUGCUAAUACCGGAUACCCCUAUCGGACCGCAUGAUCCGAUAAGGAAAUGUUUUUUCGCUUCGGGAGGGGCUCGCGGCCUAUCAGCUUGUUGGUGGGGUAACGGCCCACCAAGGCAUCGACGGGUAGCUGGUCUGAGAGGACGAUCAGCCACACUGGGACUGAGACACGGCCCAGACUCCUACGGGAGGCAGCAGUGGGGAAUCUUGCGCAAUGGGCGAAAGCCUGACGCAGCAACGCCGCGUGGAGGACGAAGGCUUUCUGAGUUGUAAACUCCUUUCAGCAGGGACGAUUGUGACGGUACCUGCAGAAGAAGCACCGGCCAACUACGUGCCAGCAGCCGCGGUGAUACGUAGGGUGCAAGCGUUGUCCGGAUUUAUUGGGCGUAAAGAGCUCGUAGGCGGUUUGAUAAGUUGGGUGUGAAACCUCCAGGCUCAACCUGGAGCCGCCACUCGAUACUGUCAUGACUUGAAUUCGGUAGGGGACCACGGAAUUCCUGGUGUAGCGGUGAAAUGCGCAGAUAU